AGCAACUCCCCCAGUGUCAUGCAAUUGUAACUGAGGGAGCCAGGAUUCAUACCCAAGACUGACUCUGUGGCCACAGAGGGCCUCAAGCCACUGCUCUGUCCCCCAUGCCGUGGCAGAUGCUGUACACUGAUUGUGCAUCUUUCUUGCUGCAUCAGGAGGCAGCCUUAGUACUCUUCCAAAUAUAGCCGGCCACCACCAACCUGCAGGGUGGGGGCUGUGAUCUGAACACUUGUUUCCCCCCAAAAUUCAUAUGCUGAAAUCCUAACUCCCAAGGGGGCAUUAGGAGGUGGGGGCUUUGGGAGGUGAUUAGAUCAUGGGAGUGGAGCCCUCCUGAAUGGGAUUAGUGCCCUUAUCCAAGGAGCCCCAGAGAGACCCCUGGUCCCUUCUACCAUGUUGGGGCACAGCAAGAAGCACCAUCUAUGAACCAGAAAAUGGGCCCUCACCAGACACCCAAUCUACCGGUGCUUUGAUCUUGGAUCUCCCAGCCUCCAGAACUGCGAGAAAUAUUUUUCUGCUGUCUUUAAGUCAGCGUGUUAUGGUAUUUGGUUGCAGCAGCCUGCAUGGACUAAGAGUGGGCAUGCAAACCAAGCCUGUGGGCCAUCCCAGCACCAUUCAUACUGCCUUCCACCUGCCGUUGUUGGGCUCUUUGUGUCAGCUCACGUGGGUUUUAGGGCCCAGCUCCUCUGCAGAAUUCUGAUGCCUGGUUCAGGUAGGCAGGGCCAGGUAUAGGCAUGCAGGGAAAGAGUCACCAUUUCCUGUGAGGAUUUAUUGUUGAUGUGGGGAGUUUUUUCAUUAGCAAUCCAUAUAUGUGAGUCAAUCAUUGCCCUCUCCUUUUUUGAGACAUAAGUACCUCUGGGAUAGGUAACACCUGUACUUUACUGCAAAUUUAUCUUUUGGAUUUUUUUUUUCUUUAAUUUUUUUGUCCAGAAGGAUACGCUAGAGUUUUCCAGUUGUCUGGGGGUACUGGCUGAAACCCAAAACUUAGAACAACAGGCAAUCUCCCUUGCCACGCCCCUCUUUUCCUGCAACACACACAUUUUAAAGACAGGUGCUAGACCAUCCAGGCAGAAGUUGCUAAGAAGUAUUCCAACUGGUCCUGCAAGUCCUGGUCUUGGCACUUCAUCCACCUCCAGUCUAGAUUUAAUCAAAGGCUAAAGAUUGCUCAAAGCAGACUUCUUUAAUGAGAAAGAGUGUCGACUCCCUGCUGUAGCUCCCCGCUGUGGCUCCCUCCCGAAUCUGAGCAUUAAACGCUUGGGAGUGGCAUGCACAUCCACGAUUUGUUGGGGCCAGGGCUGGAAUGUUUCUUUGGGGUCCGAGGUGACAUGAUCCCUUGGGUGGUAUCCAGGCCCCAGGGACUUGAAAGCACUCCACUCAAGAUUUCUGUCUGCCAAGGAGAGGAGACCCCAGCAGAAGGAGCCCCGGUGGGGGGUACCUACAAGCAGGAGCUGAGGAAUUGUAGGCAGUCAGCUGGAGAGGGUAUGGCCCAUGCUGCUUAGAUCAGAGAAUGGGGCACGCUGGGGAUCCCCAGCAAGCAGGUCUCCAAAAAUCCACAAAAAUCCUCUCCUUGAGGGAUAGGGAAAGAGCCUGCCCAGACAGUUAUGGAACAACAGCCCCCCAAAGAUAUUCAAAUUUUAAUCCCAGAACCUCUGAAUAUACUGUUUUACCUGACCAGAGGGACUUUGCUGAUGUGUUUAAGUUAAAGAUCUGGAGGUGAGAAAAUUAUCCUGAAUGAUCUGGGUGGUCCCAGUGCAGUCACAGAGUUGCUAUAAGAGAGAAGAGUUGUGAUAAGAGUCACAGGUUGCUAUAAGAUACAAGGAUGGAGGCAGAAGUCAGAGAGGAGAGAAGAUGCUAAGCUGCUGGCUUUAAAGAUAGAGAAGGGAUUACAAGCCAAAGAAUGCAAGUGGCUUCUAGAAGCUGAAAAAAGCAAGGCAAGGGAUUACCCCCUGGAGCCUCUGGAAGGAAUGCAGCCCUGCUUACCUGUGUCAGACUUCUGACCUCCAGAACUACAAGAAAACAAAUGUGUGUUAUUUUAUGCAUCUGAGUUUGAGACAAUUCAGCAGCCAUGAGAAACGAAUCCACCUGCCCUGCUCUGGAGAUAGCCAGCAGCUGUGGAGCGCUGCUAGAGAAAACGCAGGACGCCCAAGUAGUGCAUGGGACAUUCUUAUACUAAAAGAGUAUUUGUUGUUUAUCUGACAUUCCAAUUUAACUUGACAUCCUUUAAUUUUUUUUUUUUUUUUUUUGGCAAAAUCUGGUAACUCGAAGCCAGAAGAGAGAAGAAAACCAACCAGCUUAUUUAAAGAACACUUUUAUCCUUUGUUUUCCAUCUCUCCUCCCUGCCCUGAACCUGGAGAGCCUGAAGUGGGUGGUAAACACGUGAGGAGGAGUAGAAAUGUGGGGAGAGACAAAGAAGAGACUGUGACCCUCCCCAUGGCAGGUUUUUGCUCUCUGGGUCAGGCAUGGAGGUAGAAAACGGGGGAAGAUGAAGGAGAGGGAAUAAAACUUGCAUGGGCCAAGCGAUUCAAGUUUUCAUUUAGAUUGGCCUGGAAAUUUUAAUAUCUAAAAAUAAACAUCAUUGGUUAAUAUCUGAAAGUGACCAAAAUGUUUCAGAAUCUUAUCAAGAUAUCAUCCCAGCUGGGGAAGAGAAAACUGAGAGGGAAGGUCUGAAAGGCAGAGAGGAAAGGUAAAGGCAAUACCCAGUUAUACAACCAGGAGCCCAGAAUGGUCAAUAAGCCAGUUACCAGUUCUUACCCAUCCCUGCUGUGUCCUCUAUUGAAGUGGAUGCAUCAUUUCUGGGAAGAGUGACACCCACAUCUUACUAUGCCAUCAUUUUACUGUAUUGCUUUUUUUCUGUGCCAGGGAGAAUGGUUGGGCACCACAGUGAGGGUGGAGGGUACCUCAAGAAUAAGGACCCCUAUGAACCUGGUGACCUCUGGGGGCCUGGGCAUCUCUUGAGACUGGACCUGAGCAGCUUGGUGAACCAAUCCCAAGUUCUACCAUCAAAAAGAAAAAUAUGGGGUGCUUUCAAAGUUCUGUGCCUGGAGCCCUCUGGACAGCUUCUGGGAAAACUUCCCAAAGCAAGGGGUUCACCAGAAUUGCACAUGACCAUGAUCACGUUGGCCACAGGGAACUGCUGAGAAUGUUUCUCUCCACCUGGUUUUCUUGACCUCAGCAGAUGUGAAUGGCUUCUGUCUGUCUGACUCACCCUAAGCCUGACCUAUUUGUGAAAUGCUUUCUCUACAAAAAAGCUAGAGAUAAGUGCAGAGAAUUAUACAUUUAUAAUCCCAGUAGAGACGGGGUUGCCUAACCCUCUCAUUUCAGCUGCUCCCUGCCUUGCCAGUGCUAGGUGCAAGCUGACCAAAUGUUGGAACUCUACAGGAUGAAUGAACCACCUGUGAGGUGACAUGGAACAAGUCAUAUGGAACAACCGAUUCGUGCCUCAGGUUUCUCUUAUGGAAAAUGGGGCUGAUAAUAGUAUUCACAUCAUAAGAUUGUUGUAGUGAGAAGAAAAUGUGAGUAAUACAUGUAAAGUGCUUCGAACAGGAAUUGGCAUGAAUAAAUGCUCAAUAAGUGUUAGCUACUCUUGUUUUAUGUCAUUGUUUCAAGAGUAUAACUUUUCUUCUUUCCUUUUGGUAUCAUGGAUCCGAUGAAAAAUAGGUUGCAACCUGUAUGUCAAGUUCAACCAAUUGGUUGUAGCUACCUAGAGAGCUGUGUUGAGAAGGAUUCUGAGGCCGCAUCGAGCUCAUUUAAGGGGAAAUUAUAUAGUGUCCUACGAGUGUUACUAUGAGUAGCAUCUCUGCUACUGCAUGCGGUAAUGGGGAGUGGUGGCAUUGGUGCCACAUCAUUUCCAUUCCUGUAUUGUAUUUUGUCUUGUAAGGUUUGUUUUUCCCUGCCUCUGUCUCAGCCCUCCCCUCCCCAUCUGCCUUUGCCUUUGUAGGGCAUCCUGGUCCUUGAAUGGGCUUGGAUGCCAAUCGCUGCUCUGUAGAAUCUGCAGUCCAUUCCAAGUAAGAACCUUCUGAGAUGAUGAUGAUGAUGAUAAUGAUGAUUUUGGAGAGAGCAAAGACCACAUGGCCUGAUACUGAGGAUGCUGCUAGGCUGUGAAGCACCCACAGGAUCCUUUGUGUGCCAAUCAAGGGCACCCUUAGAGAAACCAGGAAGAUCUUCACUGAGCAGUGGAAGGAAUGGGCCAAAGGAAGAAGUGCAUGGAGCAGAAAGUCCCGAAAGGGAAGCUUCCGGCUGUCCUCUCCCAGUAGACUCAUGGGCAGCGCCAACUUUUCCUGGCCAGGAUAUGUGACAGUACACGUGGAAUACUGCCCCCCAGGGAGCUCACCCGAGCCUUUGUGUACAGAGCUUUUACUGGGUCUCAGGCAGGUAGACAUGGUGGACUCCCUAUGUGACUGACCGUUCAUCUCCAGCCCUUCUGCAGGUCAAGCUGAUGCUUUGUGGCUGAAAACCCCCAGUAUAAAUCACGCUGUUAGGCUUUUCAAUAUGGUUCAAGACUCCCCAAGCAAACAAAGAUACUCUUAUCAGGCAGGACAUCCCCAGGACUUAGAGGUACCUCCCAGGAACCUCCGGCAAUGGCCGGACAUCUCUGGAUAAGGUCAAUUCUUUACUACAUAGUACCCGACUCUUGAAACUGCCACAGAGCUGCACACCUGGAGCAGUUGGAGGUAGGUGAGAGGGUGGAAGAAUUAGCUAACACAUAGUUGUAGCCACUGAAACACAAUUUAGUGGAAGAUUUCUUUUUGUACCUGCAAAGACAGCAUAGAGUUCAUUGCUUUCAGAGGCAACUGAGUAGUUCCAGGUUAAAAGCAUCACUCGGCCUGGGUUUAGCACCUAACACUUUUCAGUGUAUUUUCAUCUGUUGUCUCAUUUAAUCCUCAAAAGAGAUGGAAAGAAGGGGUGUUGUUAAGCCUGGCCUGGAGGUUGGAGCUCACCAGGGUCAUGGGAUGAGGGAGCAGAAGCAGCAUGAGGAGGGUCCUGGCCACUUCCCUCACCCUGCCCCACCCUGACUCCUCCUCCCAGGUUGUUCAGACAGAGCGAGUCCUGUGGCCAAGAAGAUCAGCAGAUAUUUUGCAGCAUCAGGUAUCUGGUAAUGCCCGGGUUGUACGGGGAUGGUUGUUGUGGAGUUCACCACACUGGGCGAUUACAUGAGGUCACUGCCCGCCUGAUGUGACCAACUUACUUGUGGGAAAGCAAGCUGUUUGCUGGAGUCUCUGAGGUCCAACAUGUGUUGACUCGUCUGAAGCAAGCCUUCGCCCGGGGUCAUGACCUCACCCUGAAGUUUGGUGUAAAUUCCAUGUAAUCUCUGUGUAAACAUUGGAAAGCCGCUCUUUCAGGGCACUUUCCUUUAGGGGCCCUCCCUGAGGGGUUAGGCCAUUUCUGUGGGGCUGCAGCUGCAAUGGUGAUGACUGUACCUGACUCCUCUGCAGGAGGCUGAACCCCCUGAAGGGGAAGAAAGGCAGUGUGUCUAGGACUCUGCCCGCUCCCUCUGACCUGUACUGUUCCCUCGGGCUUUCUGGCGUGCAGCUGGGAUCUAGAUAGUCUUGUGUUUUCUCUGAAGGUGACAUCUGUCUUAACAAGUGCAUUUGUAUGUAAUUUGCACAGGAAUUGGCACUAUUUUAUGGAGGUCUGUGUGGUUUUUUUGAGCUACCAGUUUUGCUUCCUGCUUACCUGUGAUGCUCAUCCGUAAUUAUUGGAAGCACCACUCUUUCAGGAAGUAAUCUGACUGGGUUGCAGCUCCACGGGGCAGGCCCUGCCCUGUCCUGUUCACAGCUGCAUCUUGGCACCUAUGACAGUGCCUGCCAUGUAUGGCACUUGCUAAAUGUUUGUUGAAUCCUAUGAGGCCACUCACUGACUUAGCUUCCUGUGGCUCCUGUAACAUAUACUGCAAACCUGGUGGCUUAUAACAGUAUGCAUUUUUUCUCUUACUGUUCUGAAGGCCGGAAGUCCACAAUCAGUGUUGCUGGCUGAAAUCAAGGUGCUGGCAGGCUGCGCUCCCUCUGGAGGCUCUAGGGGAGCCAGCCUCUGAUGGCUGCGGCAGCUGCGGCGUUUCUUGGCUGUGGUCACAGUCUCUGCCCCCACGGCCACAUCGCCUUCUCCUCUCCUGUGUGUGCCUCCGCCUUAUUAGGGCCACCUGGAUAAUCCGGGAUCAACUCCUCAUUUCAGAAUCCUGGAUGCAGUAGCAAAGUGCCCCUCCCUCUUUUCGGUAUUGGUGGCAGCUACAGGUAGUGGGGAUCAGGAGGUGGCUAUCCGCCACACUCACCAAGGGGAUGGAAACCUGAAGGGAGCUGGUCAGUGGUGGCAGUGUCACUCCCGCUGCCCAUUAGGCCGGAUGCCUGCUGGGGAGUCUGGCAUGAACAUGAGUUGGGGAAAGGGAGUUCCAUCCCAACCCCUUCCCUGAGGAUAAGCUUGCCUGGGCAGAGAGCCUCCCAGUUUACAUGGGUAAGGUAUAUGGAUGUGCUUUGGUUAAGAAUAGGCUGAGGUGGAUAACCAGGCCUGCAUGACUCAGUGAGUUUAGAGUGCAGGCAUAUAGCUCUGCUUGUUAUCACAGCCAUGUAGCCAUAACAUGCGAAGGCCAUGCCUUGGCCCUAUGCCACUAUUGUCUGUAAAAGCUUAAUUGGCCUGCUGACUCCGUACAGGCGCACUUGCACCCAGAGAGAGAGAGAGCCAGAGCUGUCCGACUUUGCAGAUGGACAGGGGGAAACAGGACACAGCUCAGCCUACUCAUACCCAGAGAGAGAAGGAGUUCAGCUGCUGACCCUGAAGGCAAGGGAGAGCUGGCCACGCAGGUGUGUGUGGGAGCUGGCUGCUGAGAGGAACCGCUGAGCCGGAGCAGGCAGCCAAAAUAAAGGUGAACAGUGUAAAAGAGCUAGUGUAAGCUGCUGACGAGAGAGCUCCUGAAUAAAAUUACAUUUCACCUGCCUUCAGCCCCCCGAAUGUUCUUUCAGCUAUCUGCUCAUCCACCCACACCUUUCGGACCUCAGCUGGGGCUGGACCCCAACCCUGAGUGUAACAACAAGCGAUACUUUUGUUAGGUCCAUUUUCACUUCCUUCAUCAGAAAUGUCCUGCGCUCUCCCUGGGCACUGUCCUGCGGCUGGUAAGAGGCAGAGGGCAGGAACUGUGUCAGUCUUGUUCCUUGUUGUAACCCAGUGCCUGGCACAUGGUAUCUGUUCUCCUUGACAUAAGUGCAUGGAUGUUCCCACUCCACAGUGCGAAUCCUCAUAAUGGAAGCCAAAGCACAGUCCCCUCCAACUGCUUGCCUCAGAAUCACUGGCUAUACUUAUACAAAAGCGGAUUCCUGAACUGCCUCCCAGACAGACUGAGUUCGAAUCUCUGUGGCUAGGACCUAGAUAUCUGCAUUUUUAAUAAGAUCCCAGAUGAUGCUGAUGUAUCAUCACCUAAGAAUUACUGGCCUAAAGGUACUUCCAACACAGCCCACCAUGCCAGUACAAAGCAGGUGUGCACACUUUUGGAAGGAUCCCCAUUUUCUCCUGGGGAACUGGCCUUGGGAUAUGACCAAUAGUGCCCCAUAGCUCUCAGAACAUCCCUGUCCCCAUGGGCCCUCGCGGGCAGGCUGAGCACAGCAGUGUGGCACUCAGCGGCUGGCCUGGGAUUCGGUGGAAAUAGGUUUGCUGCUUCUCAGCCAAGUGGCCUGAAGCAAACGAUUUAAGCUGUCUCGAUUUCCUCAUCUGGAUAAUGGGGACACAAAUAGAACCAAUAAAAAGUGUUGAGAAGACUGAAUGCCGGCAUGUGCAUGAAAUGCCUCAUCGGUGCAUAGCACAGUGUUUGAUAACUCAGAACUUUUUCAAAAAGGUAUGAUGAUGAAAACCUUAUUCUGAAGAAAGAAAACGUCACAGAAAUCAUCAUUACAAAGCCCAGCUGAAGCUCUCCUGCACAUCAGACCCUCCUGGGGAGUGUUUGGAAAACAUCAGUCUAGUGGCCCCUCCCCAGUCUUAUGCCUUCCCCAUCCUUCCCUCCCACCUGUGAAACCAGAGGAAUCUCUAGUAGGGGGUGUCUGAAUUUUUUGAAGAAGAGGAAGCUUUCCUAUGGCAAGAAUCACCCGGGGCACUUGAAGACAUGGCCUGGCCUCUCCGGAAAAUUCUGCUUUGGGUGUUGGAGAUGGGUUCUUGGAACUUGCAUUUUUAAUCAGGUGCUUCUUAACUUUUCAGCAAUUAAGGAAGCGCUGGUUUAAAGUGAGUUUAACCCACUGUGGUUGAGAGAGGUUUUGGUGCCACCCUGACCAGCCGAGGCCGUCUCCCCUGUUACCCACAAUUCCUUGUGAUGAUGCCACCUCUAUCCAGGAGGGAAGCGUCACUCAUGGUGUGGAGCCUGCUAGUCGUGUUUGGAGAUUGCAAAGCACAGUCUUCGUCGGUCUGUGUAUGUGUUCAUGUAAGCGUGCACACAGACUCACACUUCUGAAAACCACCUCGAUGAUGGCAGGAAAAAAGAACUGACUAAAACUGUAGAAGUUAAGGGCCAACACAGUGCUCAGAGGAACUUUAUCUCUAACACUAAAUAGAAACAAAGGAUGAGGAGGGGUCCCAUGGACAGAUGGGGAGAAUAGGAGACUCAGUUCAGAGUCCCUGAACUCUGGGACUCUGAACUGAGUCAGGGAGUUUCAGUCAGGGAGGCCCCUGACUGAAAGCCAGCAGUCCCCACGUGGAGCUCUCGCCUUCUAGAUGGUUCAGCCUUGCAGGCUGCUUCCAUCUGAGAAUCCUGGGAGGCUCGCCCUUCCCCAUGUGCUUCAAGCCUAAAGAAGUGUUGGGAGCUGUCCUGCCACUCGUGGGGCAAGGGGAGGACUGCUUAGCCAACCCUGGUGAGAUGUCAGCUAGGGAGAGGCUGCUGUUCUUGCCCCUGCCCUCCCAGGUCUUUCUAAGGAUGAUUCUGUAAACCUUCUUUGUGUCUCCGCCGUGGAGCUGGCUGCCAAGGGGCAGCUUUGCUUACCCAGCCUGGUGCUGCUGGUGGUGCCUUAGUCUUCUGAUGUGAUCUCUGUAACAGGGACUUGAAAAUAACACUCAGAGCAGUGCCCUGCUCAAAUGGUCACAGGUCACAUCCUGAAGAACCAUCUAUUCUGGGCAUGUUGAAGUUUGGAGCAGAUGAGUGCUGGAUAAACAGUGUUUUUCUAGGACUACACCAGGAACACCAAAUAUAGUAGAAAUGUAACAAGCCCUCAGAAGACGAUUUAUGAAAACAAAACAACAAAAUGUGUAAUUCUGUGAAUAUACUAAAAACCAUUGAAUUAUACACUU